UACGUAGGGUGCAGGCGUUAAUCGGAAUUACUGGGCGUAAAGCGUGCGCAGGCGGUCUGUUAAGACAGGUGUGAAAUCCCCGAGCUCAACUUGGGAAUUGCGCUUGUUACUGGCAGGCUAGAGUGUGGCAGAGGGGGGUGGAAUUCCACGUGUAGCAGUGAAAUGCGUAGAUAUGUGGAGGAACACCGAUGGCGAAGGCGGCCUCCUGGCUUAAUACUGACGCUGAGGUGCGAAAGCGUGGGGAGCAAACAGG
rnacentral:rRNA from 1 species